UCGACAUUUUCAUUGGAUUCUCUAAACUGUAUUUCAAACAUUUUCAUUCUAAUCCAAAUGCAACAAAAUUUAGUACUCAUCGGUGAAAUCAGAAUAUAUAGGCUACACACAUUCUGAAUACCAAACUGAAACUUCCUAAUUAAUUAACGGUUUACCUGAAGCUGCAGUUUUCGUGGAAUCAAUAAAUUAAUGGAGAUGCAUGCAUGGUACUGAUCAGUCAGAUUAUCUAGCUAGCUCCAGGACAGCACAUAAUUACAUCAACAAAGUGUGCAAAUUCCUACAAUUUGAAGAACUAACGAAAAAGCUCGACACAGAUCUCACACAAAAGGAUUAGAUUAACUAGCUACCAGUAAUUAAGUUUUACUGAUCAGAUUCUAGUACUGCUACUGCGGCAGCAACACGAGAGCGAAAGCGGCAGCAAGCACGACGCGUAGGAGGCGCCCGAGCUCGCCGGCGGCGACGGUGGAGGCACCGCUGAUCUCCGAAGAGGCGACGGCGAGCGGCAGGGUUUCGGCGGGG
rnacentral:lncRNA from 1 species